CCUACGGGGGGCAGCAGUGGGGAAUAUUGCACAAUGGGGGAAACCCUGAUGCAGCGACGCCGCGUGAGGGAAGAAGGUUUUCGGAUUGUAAACCUCUGCCUUUGGUGACGAAAGAUGACGGUAGCCAAAGAGGAAGCUACGGCUAACUACGUGCCAGCAGCCGCGGUAAUACGUAGGUGGCAAGCGUUGUCCGGAAUUACUGGGUGUAAAGGGAGCGUAGGCGGGCAGACAAGUUGAAUGUUUAAACUAUCGGCUCAACCGAUAAUCGCGUUCAAAACUGUUUUUCUUGAGUGAAGUAGAGGCAG
rnacentral:rRNA from 1 species